GGCCCGAGGUGGAUGCCCUAGCUGGCCGGAGCUGCCCCGAGCUCAUUACGAGGAGGAGCCGCCGGAGCCCGUCCGCUCCCGUCGCUGGGAGGCACCCCUGGAACUCCCCCACAGCAACCCCGAAGGGGAGGCCCCGCCAGAACCCUUGCAGCCCUGCUGUUAUCCGGAGGAGCCGCCCGAGGGCCAGUGGCCGGAUUUCCCUACAGAGCUACCGGAUCUGCCACCAAGCCCCGGCCAAGAGGAGGCUCCACUGAUGGACUGGACCGCACCCGGUGCCACAGACGAGGUAAAGAAGCACUACUCAAAGACGGUAGCAGCCCUGCCAUUCAUUGAAACCAGGAGACUGAGUCUACGUAAAGUCCAUCAACAAAAGACUGCUUUGACUCCAUGCUGGAAAGGCCCUUUCCAAGUCCUGUUAACCACCAACACUGCUGUGAAGUGGCAAGGACUGCCUACCUGGACCCAUGCUUCUCACUGCAAAAAGACCCCCUCCACCUCGGGAGGACUCUCCGACUCAUGAUCAGCCUAUUCCUCCUUCUAGCUCUGCUGUGCCUUCUGGACAGCAGGAAAAAGAAAAAAAGAAAAAAAGACAAGGUGAAGUGCUAGUAACUCUCCCUUGUCCACUGACAGACCUACUGUGCCUUUGGAUUUUUCUAAAAGAAGCAAAACCAUUACAGGGUGAUGUGCUAGUAACCUCUCCCCUGUAUGAUGCUGAACCACACUGUUUCAGAAAAAGAGAAGAAGGAACACUCGCUCCAUUGAAACCACCAAAGUCCAGGGAUUCCUGACUACAAAAAACCAUUAAGAACUGACCCUGGUGAAGCAACAAAGAAUUAUACACUGGCAGGAAGAAACUUGUGGGACCCAUGCUUAGGAAUGUGGUUUUGAUUGGAUUUGGGGGUUUAUUCUACAGGCUGUGCCCUGUGUUUUGGAUAAGUCCUUCAGCAUGUAUUACCCUCCCUAAUUGGAUUUUAAAUGACAAGUACCAAAGGCACCUUGUUGCCACUGCCCCUGCCAUCUCCUCCAUUACACUGUUACCCCUGUAACACAUCCAAAUACAGACAAUGCCAUAUAUCUGAUAAAACCAACGGCCAAGGCCUUCACACUUUAGUGAUUUAUUUAAAUAUUGUUUGCAAAAAAAAUAUUUUUAAGGUUCAGGAUAUCCCAUAUAAGCGAACAAUUGAAUGGAAAAGAAUGGAUCAGUGGAGAUAAAAAUACAUGAUAUCACUACAAGUGAACCCCAAGAAUUUGUAAUUGAAAUUAAUGGGUUCUAUAGUGAAGUAGAUAUGAUGGUUGUUCCUGGAAUUUGCACUGUGUUAAAUGAGAGAGGCCCUUAUUGGUAUUUGGUCACCCAAUUAGUAAAUAAUCAAACGACUACCCAAAGAGUUUGUUCUGCCACUGAAAAUUUUACCUGCAUAGAAAUUAUUCCAGUGACUUAUUAGAAUUAUUCCAAUAAUGUUACCUGUACCUUAUUGCAAUACACCCCUUCUUAUGCCAUUAAUAUCAAUGCCUCCCGGAAAUACAUAAAGGUGUUCAACCAACAGAUGUGGUAUAGUACUACACCAAAGAGAGAUGUAUUAGGAUAUCAAUGGACUGUGUGAUUAACACUACACUAGGGACUGUUAAAUUUUCAUUGCCCUUAUCCAGUUUCCAGAUAACCUCUACAUACCCAAAUUGUUCAAAAGGGGCUGCUAUUAGAUUUUAGCACAACAGAGGGCUUGGGCUAUUUCCUCUAGAAAGAAGAGAGACUUGACCGGAUCCCUAUGGGAUGGGGCCAAUAGUACAGCAGCAGUUUGAAAUAUUUUUAAGAACCAAAAACAUGAUACGAAAUUGGGGCAAUUAAAGAAGGCCACAAGCCUUAUUUCUGGGGCACAGCUAACCCAGGUACAGGCUGGAAUUGGUGAGUUACAUGUUAUCUCCACCCUUAGUUCUAUGACCCAGAAGUUGCUGACAGAGAUGGUAUUGAAUAUCACUGAGGCUGGGAAGGCAUUGCAGUGGGAUCUAGCACGUUCAGGCUUGGCCCACUGCCCUUACAGACACAUCAGGAGUACCAUCUGAUCUGUGGCCAUGGAGACAUACUUGGAGACUUUCUGGGUGGAAGUGCGGACGUUCUCAAUGCUCCUUCCAAGCAUAUGGACCGGUUAGGGGGGGUGUGGGCUCCCACAUACCGAAUCCUGCCGGGUCCAUGGGGAGGAUGCAUGUGGGAUUGGGUAAUUCACCGAGACGUCUGGGAAAUUAGACUACCGCCGAUGCCCUGGUGGACUUGGCAACCGCACAGAGAAAACUAAGGCAGAUGGUUCUCCAGAACCGCUUGGCUCUAGAUAUCUUACUGGCCUCUCAGGGAGGAACAUGUGCACUAAUUGGGCAAGAAUGCUGCGUAUAUGUUCCUGAUGUUUAUAACGCCACCUGGGACAGAGCAAACCACCUCAUACAAGUAGCAAAGGACCAUGGAGGGGAGCGGGUUGAAUCCUGGUGGAGUAACCUGUUCAGUUGGAUUCCAAACAUAGGUGGUUGGCUCCAUAAUGUACUCCAAAGCGCCGUUGUAAUUAUAUGUGGCCUGCUAGCUUUGUAUGUUAUGAUAAAGGUUGGAUGUUGGAUGGGCACCAAGCUGUGUUCCGUCCAAAAGUAAUCAACUCCAAGCUCACCACUCAUAGCAGCUAGUUGUCACAGGAGUCCCUCCAAGGCACUCCAGGGACAAAGGGGGGAUUGUUAGGCCCAAAAAUAUGGAGUAUAGAACAUUGUUUGGCCAGCUUAGCCAAAGUUAGGCUAACAGUAGUUGCUGGGCCAUUCCUGUCUCUCUGUGAAACCUGAGGACAUGCUUGCUUGAGCUGCAGAGAAUGAGGUAAGGGCGGGGGGGGGGCGUAUUCUUGUACCAGAAGUGCUAGGAACAGUUUGUUUGGACAUAUGGAAACUUGCAGUCUCCACUCCCUGUUUCUGUUCUUCAUCUGUUCUUAAUUCCCUCCUUUCUCCUAGUUUCUGGUGCAUGACAACAAAGCUCAUAAGAAGUUGCUGAGGCAUCACGAAUUGUUUGUAGUGUCAAAGAAGAUAGAUAUGCAUGAAUAUUAGAAGCUUUCUAACUAAUAAAGGGGGGUUGGGUUGUUUUAACUAUGACGCGACGAAACUGUCUAUAUAACCCUAUUAGUUGUUAAAACCGUGGCUGGUUCUCUCUGGAGACGGGCCGCUCUCUAUUGUAGUGUGCACUCCUCAAUAAAGAGCUUGUUACUGGA